GACGAACGCUGGCGGCGUGCCUAAUACAUGCAAGUAGAACGCUGAAGGAGGAGCUUGCUUCUCUGGAUGAGUUGCGCACGGGUGAGUAACGCGUAGGUAACCUGCCUGUUAGCGGGGGAUAACUAUUGGAAACGAUAGCUCAUACCGCAUAAUAGCAGUUAUUGCAUGAUAACUGUUUGAAAGGUGCAAUUGCACUACUACCAGAUGGACCUGCGUUGUAUUAGCUAGUUGGUGGGGUGACGGCUCACCAAGGCGACGAUACAUAGCCGACCUGAGAGGGUGAUCGGCCACACUGGGACUGGGACACGGCCCAGACUCCUACGGGGGGCAGCAGUAGGGAAUCUUCGGCAAUGGACGGAAGUCUGACCGAGCAACGCCGCGUGAGUGAAGAAGGUUUUCGGAUCGUAAAGCUCUGUUGUAAGGGAAGAACGAGUGUGAGAGGGGAAAGUUCACACUGUGACGGUAUCUUACCAGAAAGGGACGGCUAACUACGUG
rnacentral:rRNA from 1 species